rnacentral:rRNA from 1 species
UACAGAGGUCCCAAGCGUUGUUCGGAUUCACUGGGCGUAAAGGGUGCGUAGGUGGCUUGGUAAGUUCGAUGUGAAAUCUCCGGGCUUAACCCGGAAAUGGCAUUGAAUACUAUUGAGCUGGAGGUUUGGAGGGGGGACUGGAAUUCUCGGUGUAGCAGUGAAAUGCGUAGAUAUCGAGAGGAACACCAGUGGCGAAGGCGCCACUCUGGGCCGGAACUGACGCUGAGGAGCGAAAGCGUGGGUAGCAAACAGG